rnacentral:rRNA from 1 species
ACGCACGCUGGCGGCAUGCCUAACACAUGCAAGUCGAACGAGACCUUCGGGUCUAGUGGCGCACGGGUGCGUAACGCGUGGGAACCUGCCCUUAGGUUCGGAAUAACUCCCCGAAAGGGGUGCUAAUACCGGAUAAUGUCUUCGGACCAAAGAUUUAUCGCCUUUGGAUGGGCCCGCGUUGGAUUAGCUAGUUGGUAGGGUAAAAGCCUACCAAGGCGACGAUCCAUAGCUGGUCUGAGAGGAUGAUCAGCCACACUGGGACUGAGACACGGCCCAGACUCCUACGGGAGGCAGCAGUGGGGAAUAUUGGACAAUGGGCGAAAGCCUGAUCCAGCAAUGCCGCGUGAGUGAUGAAGGCCUUAGGGUUGUAAAGCUCUUUUACCCGGGAUGAUAAUGACAGUACCGGGAGAAUAAACUCCGGCUAACUCCGU